rnacentral:tRNA from 1 species
GCGCCCGUAGCCUAAUGGAUAGGGCAGCAGCCUCCGGAGCUGCUUGUGCAGGUUCGAGUCCCGCCGGGCGCGCCA